AGAGUUUGAUCCUGGCUCAGGAUGAACGCUAGCUACAGGCUUAACACAUGCAAGUCGAGGGGCAGCAUGAUUGAAGCUUGCUUCAAUUGAUGGCGACCGGCGCACGGGUGAGUAACACGUAUCCAACCUUCCGUACACUCAGGGAUAGCCUUUCGAAAGAAAGAUUAAUACCUGAUGGUAUCUUAAGCACACAUGUAAUUAAGAUUAAAGAUUUAUCGGUGUACGAUGGGGAUGCGUUCCAUUAGGUAGUAGGCGGGGUAACGGCCCACCUAGCCUACGAUGGAUAGGGGUUCUGAGAGGAAGGUCCCCCACAUUGGAACUGAGACACGGUCCAAACUCCUACGGGAGGCAGCAGUGAGGAAUAUUGGUCAAUGGACGAGAGUCUGAACCAGCCAAGUAGCGUGAAGGAUGAAGGUCCUACGGAUUGUAAACUUCUUUUAUAAGGGAAUAAAACCUCCCACGUGUGGGAGCUUGUAUGUACCUUAUGAAUAAGCAUCGGCUAACUCCGUGCCAGCAGCCGCGGUAAUACGGAGGAUGCGAGCGUUAUCCGGAUUUAUUGGGUUUAAAGGGAGCGCAGACGGGUCGUUAAGUCAGCUGUGAAAGUUUGGGGCUCAACCUUAAAAUUGCAGUUGAUACUGGCGUCCUUGAGUGCGGUUGAGGUGUGCGGAAUUCGUGGUGUAGCGGUGAAAUGCUUAGAUAUCACGAAGAACUCCGAUUGCGAAGGCAGCACACUAAGCCGUAACUGACGUUCAUGCUCGAAAGUGUGGGUAUCAAACAGGAUUAGAUACCCUGGUAGUCCACACGGUAAACGAUGGAUACUCGCUGUUGGCGAUAUACGGUCAGCGGCUUAGCGAAAGCGUUAAGUAUCCCACCUGGGGAGUACGCCGGCAACGGUGAAACUCAAAGGAAUUGACGGGGGCCCGCACAAGCGGAGGAACAUGUGGUUUAAUUCGAUGAUACGCGAGGAACCUUACCCGGGCUUAAAUUGCAAAGGAAUAAUCUGGAAACAGAUUAGUCUUCGGACCUUUGUGAAGGUGCUGCAUGGUUGUCGUCAGCUCGUGCCGUGAGGUGUCGGCUUAAGU
rnacentral:rRNA from 1 species